AAAAAGGUUCCGGCCUCAGCCGGCGCACCUGGCGGAGGAGGAACCUCGCGACGCGCUCUCGGGCAUCGGUUUCUCCCAGCAAAGCUUGGAGGGUUUAGCUGCGCGGAGAGCUCAGCGAGCUCUUCUGUGUCUGUUUGGGGCGUGUGGGCUCCGGGAGCGUGAGGACCGGGAAGCUAGGAGGCUCCUUCCCUUCUGGCGGCUCCCUCACUGAGACCGGGCGGUUUGGUUGCGGGGGAAGUGGAGACGAGCCACCCUUGACCUUUGACUGCAAGAACUCACCUUGAGCAGGAUAGAGGCACGUGGACGGUGACCCUCGGGAUGCAAUAAAUGCUGAGACAGAUCAGCAAACAUUGAGUGGGCCAGACACUGUUCUGAAAAAUACGCAGUCGACUUUUGAACAGCACAGGCUUGAACUGCAUGCGGCCACUAAUACUCGGACUUCCUUCUGCCUCUGCCAUCCCUAAGACAGCAAGACCCACCCCUCCUGCUCCUCAGCCUACUCGAUGUGAUGAUGCCACCCUGCCAACUACUCAGCAGGGGCCUUCUGAUGGACACUGUGAGAGGACAAGACACAAAAGAAAUGUAUACAAUGGAGAAGACAAUGAUACAAAUGAUACAAAGGAGAAGACAAUGGGCUUCUCCUUUGCCCCUGAGACUUCCUUUGAAAAAUAAUUUGCAAAAUCCCGCUCCCUGUGCCUUGCUCUAGAGUUUGAAGGCUUGGGCCUGUGAACAGUGAGCUCUCAGGAGGCACAGAUCGCUCCCUUAGGCACCAUGCUUGAGACUUGACCACAUUUCAGGCUGGCUCCGCCUGCUCUAGGCUGUGUCUCUAAAGGUGGCCCCACCCCUGCCUUGCACUAAGUCUUUACUCAAGAAAAUGCAAUGCUACCAAACCACAAAAUGUGCAUUGUCCCAACCCAGCUUGCACCAAAUUGUUUUCAGGAAUUCUCUAGUGACCCCUUCUGUAAUUUCCAUUUCCACAUAAACCCCAGGCCCUUUUUGUUCCCCCUUCUUCACUUCCCCAGCAUCCCUUUUUGUUCUCUCUCUGUUCUCCCUUCAGAAGCCUCAGUCCCCUUUAAUUGGGGCUGAGUUCUGUCUGACCUGGAAUCUCCCCCAAAGCAGGAGUCUGAAUAAAACCUGUCUUGCCACCUUUCACAAGUGUUUUGCGCUGUGUGUGUGUGUGUGUGUGUGUGUUUUUUUUUUUUUUCAUUGAUAGUUCAAAUCCUAUUUCCUCUGGGUAUUGUCUGUGUGUCCUUGGGUGAAUCACUUCACUUCUCUGAGUCUCAACUUCCUCAUCUUCAAAAUGAGAACGUAGGUAGGCCCACCUUGCUGCAAGGUGAUGAGGGAAGGCCCUCGCCAGGGGCCUGUCACUCCUUACUCAGGAAUAAUCACUGACCCAUCCCCACAGUGCUGGAACUCUUCUAGGCAUUGGGAGUAGAGAGAAGCAACACAGAGUUCCUGCCCACAGAGAGUGGACUUUCUAGUGAAGAAACAAACAACACACAGGGAAACCUAUCUGUAUUUGUCUGUUUUCAUGCUGCUGAUAAAGACAUACCUGAGACUGGGCAGUUUACAAAAGGAAGAAAGGUUUAAUGGACUUACAGGUUCACAUGGCUGGAGAGGCUUCACAAUCAUGGUGGAAGGCAAGGAGGAGCAAGUCACGUCUUACAUGGAUGGCAGCAGGCAAAGAGAGAGCUUGUGCAGGGAAACUCCCAUUUUUAAAACCAUCAGAUCUCACGAGACGUAUUCACUAUCGCAAGACCAGCACAGGAAAGACCUGCCCCCAUGAUUCAAUUACCUCCUACUGUGUCCCUCCCACAACAUGUAGGAAUUCAAGAUGAGAUUUGGAUGGGGACACAGCCAAACCAUAUUACCAUCUUAAAAUAUCAAGCAGUGAAAGCAUGAUGAAGAAAGUUAACACAGGUGGAGGGAUGCAGGUGACCAGGAGGAGGAGGAGCUAUUUUCCAAGACCUCUCUGAUGGGGGACAUUUGCACAGGGAGCACCAUGUAGAAAUCUUGAGGGUUCACACUCCAAGCAAAGAGAAGAGCAAGUGCAAAGGCCCAGAGGCAGGAGAGCACUGGACCUGUUCCAGAAACCUCCAGCAGGCCAAUGUAGCUGAAACACAGCCAGGCACAGGGGCUGAGACAGGAGGUGGGCCAGGCCAUCUAGGGCUCAGGGACCAUGGUCAGGACUCUAUAUUCAUCCCAAAGGUGAUAGGGAAGCACUAAGGUUACAGUGUAACCAUAUCCAUGUCUCAAUCACCUGCCUAACUCUACUAGAAGGAGGGAACGUGUCAGUGCUGGUUGAAUUGUGACUUUCUCAUGGGGUAGGGGGUGGGUUAUAGGAACAUGAGAUAUAAAACGUACCAGAAAAGGUAUCCAACCUCUAGGCGUCCCCCUCCUUGGACACCUUCAGGUUCCAUGGCGAUAUGAUUUGGCUCUGUGUCCCCACCCAAAUCUCAUCUCAAAUCGUAAUCUGAGCAGUGGAGUAAUAUGAUCUAAGCUUUAUACAUCCUAUAUAUUUAACACCAUCUCAAAUUUACAAAAAAAGUUACAAGUAUGGGACAAAUAAUUUUUGUCCCUGAGUCAUCUGAAAGUAAGCUGCCAGCAUGAUGCCUGUCACCCCUGGACACUUUACUAUGCAUUUCCAACAAACAGAGAGAAUGACCAUCAAAAUCACGACGUUCACAACAUGCAUUUUUACCAUUUGAACCUCAGACCACAUUCAGGUUUCAUCCUUUGUCCCAAUAAUGUUCUUUAUAACAAAAGGAGCCAGGGUGGAAUCACACAUUGCCUUUAGAUAUCAAGCUCCUUUAGUCUCCUUCAGUCUGAAAUGUUUUCUCAGUCUUUCUGUGAUUUUCGUGACCUUGACUCUUUUGAAGAUGACUGGCCAAUCAUUUGAUAGAAUAUCCUUCAAUCUGCAUUUGUCUGACCUUUCACCCUGAUUAGAAUUAGGAUAUGCAUCUUUGGCAGAAAUAUCACAUGAAUGGCAAUGUGUUCUCUAGGUUGCAUCCUAUCAGAUGCACAAGAACUCAAUUUGUCCCAUGACUGAUGAUGUUCACCUGCAUCACCUGGUUAAAGUGGCAUCUGCCCACCUUCUCCAUUGUGAAGUUACUAUUUUUACUGUUCUUCCCUCUGCAGUUGAUAAUUAUUUUUAUAUAAAUAUCCUGUUCCUCAUGAAACCUUCAAUGUAUUCAGUUAUUAAUAACACUGUGGACUCCUGUUUUCCUGUUUUAUUCUGUGGGCCAUAAUUCUUAACUCUCAUUACUUAUUUGUAUUUAGAUUACUCCAGAAAUGUCCAGCAGUGGCUUCUGUGUUCUGGCAUGUUUCCAUCAUUGUUUGGGUGCUUAAUUUCUGGGUAACAAGAUGUUCUAGGCUCCUUUCUGCCUCAGUCCCAGAAUCAACCAUUUCUUCUAGGGUGCAUCUUCCUUUUAGUUGAGAUGAAAUUUGGAAUCCAAAACCUGGGUACAAUGUAGGCUCACUGCUUUUGGAAUGUCAGUGCCCUCAGGUUCUCUCAAUAGACAAAACUAAGGAAUAUAUGUGUUUAUAUACACAUCUAGUUGCAAGUAUACAUACAUGCACACAUCUUUCAUCUAUAUUUCUAUGUCGAUUUAGGUAUUGAAUGUUAUGAGUUCCUAUCAAUACCUCCAAUCGCAAUCCCCUCUACAAGGGUCUUUCCAGAUUCUCUCUUUCCAUAUUUGUAACUUGAUGCUCCAACAGCAAGAAAUCUUUCUCCUUUGCUUUUAAUAUAUUUGCCUACCUGAUGAGUCCCCAUGGGUAUAAAUAAUCCUCCAUCUCCAUUGCCAUUCU
rnacentral:lncRNA from 1 species